AUACGUAGGGGGCGAGCGUUGUCCGGAAUGAUUGGGCGUAAAGGGCGCGUAGGCGGCCCGGUAAGUCUGGAGUGAAAGUCCUGUUUUUAAGAUGGGAAUUGCUUUGGAUACUGUCGGGCUUGAGUGCAGGAGAGGUAAGUGGAAUUCCCAGUGUAGCGGUGAAAUGCGUAGAGAUUGGGAGGAACACCAGUGGCGAAGGCGACUUACUGGACUGUAACUGACGCUGAGGCGCGAAAGUGUGGGGAGCAAACAGGAUUAGAUACCCUGGUAGUCCGCACUGUAAACGAUGAAUGCUAGGUGUAGGGGGUAUCGACCCCUUCUGUGCCGCAGUCAACACAAUAAGCAUUCCGCCUGGGGGGCACGGCCGCAAGGUUGAAACUCAAAUGAAUUGACGGGG
rnacentral:rRNA from 1 species